rnacentral:rRNA from 1 species
UACGUAGGGGGCUAGCGUUGUCCGGAAUCAUUGGGCGUAAAGAGCGCGCAGGCGGUCGAUCAAGUCGAGUGUGAAAGCCCCCGGCUCAACUGGGGAGGGUCAUUCGAUACUGAUCGACUCGAAGGCAGGAGAGGGUAGUGGAAUUCCCGGUGUAGUGGUGAAAUGCGCAGAUAUCAGGAGGAACACCGGUGGCGAAGGCGGAUCUCUGGGCCGUAACUGACGCUGAGGAGCGAAAGCAUGGGGAGCGAACAGG